rnacentral:misc_RNA from 1 species
GAUGAAGAACGUAGCGAAAUGCGAUACGUAGUGUGAAUUGCAGAAUUCAGUGAAUCAUCGAAUCUUUGAACGCACAUUGCACCUCUCGGUAUUCCGGGAGGUAUGCCUGUUCGAGCGUCAUUUGUACCCUCAAGCUCUGCUUGGUGUUGGGUGUUUGUUCCGCCUCUGUGUGUGAACUCGCCUCAAAACAAUUGGCAGCCGGCGUACUUGUUUCGGAGCGCAGCACAUUUUGCGAUCCAGAUCAACGUACAGCGGCAUCCAAGAAGCCUUAUUUAACGCUCUUGACCUCGGAUCAGGUAGGGAUACCCGCUGAACUUAGGCAUAUCAAUAAGCGGAGGA